rnacentral:rRNA from 1 species
GACGUAGGGGGCAAGCGUUGUCCGGAAUUAUUGGGCGUAAAGAGCGUGUAGGCGGUCCGGUAAGUCCGCUGUGAAAGUCCAGGGCUCAACCCUGGGAUGCCGGUGGAUACUGUCGGGCUCGAGUCCGGAAGAGGAGUGUGGAAUUCCUGGUGUAGCGGUGAAAUGCGCAGAUAUCAGGAGGAACACCAAUGGCGAAGGCAGCACUCUGGGACGUGACUGACGCUGAGACGCGAAAGCUAGGGGAGCAAACGGG